AGAAAAAGCGGAGAACGUCGAUUUAGGUGGAGGUGGGGAUAUUGCAAUCCUGACAAAGAAGGAAGGUAUUUCUAAAGGUUUCAAUGGUCGGUCGGGGAAAAAGGGAGAAAACGUUCGAUGGAGGGCGAAUCUCGCUACGGCCAGGUAUUUCGAUAUUUGUAGAAAACGAGACAAAAAGGCGGAACCGUAUUUAAAAAGCGAACGUCGUCCGCGCUCGCGCGCAUUGCCUCGGGAUAAAUCGUUCCGGGGACAAAGGAACGUUCACAGGCGAAACACGCGUUCUCCCCAAUGACAAUAAUUGCUCUCGUUCCGUACACGAUAGCCCCGUUAAUGAACGGUAAUCGCAUCGGCGGAAAAACAAUAGCAGCCGGUUUGUAGAAUUAUAUCUCCUCACUUUCUUUCUACAAUGAAAAUAUUUUGCACGAUAUUUUUGAAAACGAGAUGUGUGGUUUGUCGACUUACCUGAAUAGGAAUGUUCUUGAGGUUUUUGAGGUUAAGUAUUUUGCUUGUAGUUUUUGGUUACGGCCAGGUACUUCUAUUAUUCUUAAAAUUAUGAUAAGAUUAAAUAUUUAUCGCACAUUUGUAAAGAUAAAUUUAUUUGAAAUUAAAAUUAGUUUUGAAUUUAUAAAUAUCUUUGAUAAAUAUAUUGGUUGAUAGUAUUUCAUGUUUUGUAUUUUGUAUUUUAAGUCAAUCAAAGAAUAUAAUAUUUUUUUCUAUUGUUCAUAUUUAUGAAUCUUAUUUAAAUUUAGAUUUAACUUGGGCUUGAAUUAAAUUAGAUUUUAAUUGAAUUAGAUUAAAAUAAAUUUAAAUUAUAUUCUUAUAAAACAUAGUAAUAAGCAAUAAUAAACGUAUAAUAAUAAUAUUAUAAUAAUAUUAGAAGAAAGUUUUAAGGUAAACAAUGUAAAAGAAGAAUUUAGAUUAUAUUUAAGUUUCCUUUUCUUUUCUAUAUAUAUUUAGUUUUUACAUUACGUCACAUAAUAUCAGAACGUAUAAGUAUAUUAAAAGUUUUUGAUACUUUACCAACUUCAACAUUAGCUAAAUUUAGGUUAUGUGAAUUCUACACCAUCAUCCAAUAUAGCUGCUUUUUUAUUUCGCACGAAACGAUGAAACUAUUGUCCUGGAUCGAAAAUUUGUCGCGUGAGACGAUUCUACAACGACGAACACAAAUUUCUCGGGCAUAGCGAAUGCAAUUUGCUUCGGCGUCUGAUUCCACGUAAUCUCAAUUGUUUCGAGCGGCGUACAUAAUUCAUUCAACAAUGUCCACAAAACGGUGUCACUUCGUCGAUGACGGAGUUAUUGUUCGCGGGAUAAUAGAUGCCCUACGCUUUUUCCAAAUCCCGGAAAAUAAUUAAGGACUUCGAUGAGAUAGGAAAAUAAUGAUGCAUGCAUCCAAUAUGUAUUAUCUUUCACAUGAUAUUAAAUAUUAAAUUAAAAACAGACAAAUUUUUCAAAAUGUUUGUCAUCUCUCAUUAGCUUGCAAUGAAAUAUUUUUGAUUUAUUUAAUGCAUACCCUCUAACUGUCACCUGAUGGCAUGGGGAAAAAUAUAUAGCUGAAAAUCACUGGUAAUAUGUUUUACAAUAAUACCUAAAUGAUACUCGACGUUAUCGCGUCCGGCCAAUGAUGAUGCAUCACCGGGUAUUAUACUUCUUCUCAUUAGCAUUAAAACAAACGUUUAUUUUAUAUCCUGGCUUCCGUCUCGUUUUUUGCCAGCAAAUAUUUACUAGCUUGCGGAAUGUUCACUGGUGAAGAAUCAUCUAUUUCCAGGCUUCAGCAAAUUUUUAAAUCCGAACCAUUCUUCUGUUUUUUUAAAUUUUCUUUUUACUUUUAUUAUGUAUUGUUUGUUUUUUUCAAGAAAAUAUGAUUUUUUUUAAAACAAA